rnacentral:lncRNA from 1 species
CCAAUUAAUUCCUAAGGUUGUGAACUUCAAUUAUGUUGAAAGGUUGUCUUUUGAAAAAUAUGUGUAGAUGGUUGUGUCUUUUCUAAAAGUUAUAUGUUGUAAGGUUGUGUCCUUCUAAAAAUAGUUUAAAAGUUGUGACUAUUCACUAAUAUCUUUUAAAAAGUGAGAAAUUGUGAGUAUAAGAAUGUGACUAUUCAUAUUGAAGGGUUGUGACUAUUUAAAUAGGCUUUAAAAAAUCUAUAAAUAGUCUCUCCCAUGCAUUUUUCAAAUCAAAUUUUCACUAAUCUAUUAAUAAUAAAAUGGUGAAAAAAAUAAUGUCAAAGUUGCAACUUUUCAUCUAAACAAAGUGCAUUUUCAUCUCAAAGUGGGAUUGCUUUAAAAAAUAUCUACUAAUAAUAGAAAUCCCAAUUAAUUCCAAUGGUUGUGAGUCCACUUAUGUUGAAAAAUUGUGUCUUUUGAAAAAGAAGUGUAAAGGGUUGUGUCUUUUCUAAAAGUUCUAUGUUGGAAGGUUGUGUCUUUUCCAAUUAAUUUCUAAGGUUGUGAAUCCACUUAUGUUGAAAGGUUGUGUCUUUUGAAAAAGUAGUGUAAAGGGUUGUGUCUUUUCUAAAAGUUCUAUGUUGUAAGGUUGUGUCUUUUCCAAUUAAUUCCUAAGGUUGUGAACUUCAAUUAUGUUGAAAGGUUGUCUUUUGAAAAAUAUGUGUAGAUGGUUGUGUCUUUUCUAAAAGUUAUAUGUUGUAAGGUUGUGUCCUUCUAAAAAUAGUUUAAAAGUUGUGACUAUUCACUAAUAUCUUUUAAAAAGUGAGAAAUUGUGAGUAUAAGAAUGUGACUAUUCAUAUUGAAGGGUUGUGACUAUUUAAAUAGGCUUUAAAAAAUCUAUAAAUAGUCUCUCCCAUGCAUUUUUCAAAUCAAAUUUUCACUAAUCUAUUAAUAAUAAAAUGGUGAAAAAAAUAAUGUCAAAGUUGCAACUUUUCAUCUAAACAAAGUGCAUUUUCAUCUCAAAGUGGGAUUGCUUUAAAAAAUAUCUACUAAUAAUAGAAAUCCCAAUUAAUUCCAAUGGUUGUGAGUCCACUUAUGUUGAAAGGUUGUGUCUUUUGAAAAAGAAGUGUAAAGGGUUGUGUCUUUUCUAAAAGUUCUAUGUUGGAAGGUUGUGUCUUUUCCAAUUAAUUUCUAAGGUUGUGAAUCCACUUAUGUUGAAAGGUUGUGUCUUUUGAAAAAGUAGUGUAAAGGGUUGUGUCUUUUCUAAAAGUUCUAUGUUGUAAGGUUGUGUCUUUUCCAAUUAAUUCCUAAGGUUGUGAACUUCAAUUAUGUUGAAAGGUUGUCUUUUGAAAAAUAUGUUUAAAGGGUUGUGUCUUUUCUAAAAGUUAUAUGUUGUAAGGUUGUGUCCUUCUAAAAAUAGUCUAAAAGUUGUGACUAUUCACUAAUAUCUUUUAAAAAGUGAGAAAUUGUGAGUAUAAGAAUGUGACUAUUCAUAUUGAAGGGUUGUGACUAUUCAAAUAGACUUUAAAAAAUUUAUAAAUAGUCUCUCCCAUGCAUUUUUCAAAUCAAAAUUUCACUAAUCUACUAAUAAUAAAAUGGUGAAAAAAAUAAUGUCAAAUUUGCAACUUUUCAUCUAAACAAGGUGUCUUUUCGUCUCAAAGUGGGAUUGCUUUAAAAAAUGUUGGUUUUAUUUAAGUAAUGUGUUAGUUUAUAUAAUAAGUGUUAGUAUUUUAUAAGAACUCUCCCAAAAAUUAAAAAAAAAUAU